AGGCUCCCAGACCUUAUCCCAACUGACUCCAUGGUGGAAGUGUCUUUCAGUCCAUAAAACUCAGCACAUACCCAGCACCACCAGACAAAACAAAAACAAAGACCCAGUCCAUCAAAGUCCGUAGUUCUGGGAAAGUAUCUAAACGUACUAACCUUGCUUUUUGUCUUCUAUAUUUCUGUUUCUGGCUAACUGUUCUUGUUGACUGAAGUGUGUCAACCCCGGAUGUGCUCUGUGUGCUUACCAGCUGACCCUGAGAAAGGCUCACCCUGAGAAAGGCUCACCCUGAGAAAGGCUCACCCUGAGGCCACACUGGGGUUCUGAACCCUGGUGUAGUUGCUGGUGGACUAAUCCAUUCUUUCUAUGGCCUCAAACCCACGUCUGAGUAGUCUUCUCUGGUGGAUAACCACAACAGUUCUGGAAUCCCCACAGAGAUGCCCAGAGACACCAGGUCUCAGAAACCCUCAGAGCAGGGAAGAGUGUGGUGGUCAGGGAGCUCCUGAGCUGUUCCAGGUCCUGUUGAUCAACUCCUGCCUGGUGCUUCAGGGGACACCUCCACCCCCAAAGGAAACAAACUAGAGAGUCACUGGUCCAGCCACCUCCGGAGGCAUGCCCACAGGACAACUUGAGCUGGACAAUCCCUCACCGAGAAUCUUCCCAUAAGAUUCCAGAUUGUGUCAAGAGGACAGCUGAAACUAACCAUCUCAUCUCCCUGUACCAAAAUGCCUCAGCACCUUGAAUCUGUCCAGAUCAUCGCCACUGACCUCAAUAUUGUUUAAAGGUGGGUGGCUGUCAGUAAGGCUCAGUAGUUCCUGCGGAUCUGGGCAAUCUCUUUCAUCUUUCCCUCCAGCUCCUGAGGCGAGUCUUUGGCGGGCUCUGAUUUUGAUCCCUUACCCACCGCUGCCCUGGCAAUUCUCAGACAAAUCCAGGAUCAGCUGCUGGUCUUUGUUCAUCUCAAGAGGACAGGGGCUAUGGAGGGCACAGGCGCCGGACCACCCAGGAAGAGUCACCUUCCCUCCAGGCUGCCCUUCCUUCUGGGCUUUGUAUUUCUUCAGACAUGAGUUUCCAGAUUUGGAGUCUGUAACACAGUGACUGAGUGACCCAGUGAGCAACCACACACAAGGAAGGCUGAUGAUAUUAGGAGUUCUUCCCAAAGAAACCAGUAUGACAGCACAGCUGCUGUCUCCUUACCUCUUGUGUCCUGUUUUAUAGGCUACAGGACCCCAGCAGCUUACAGGCAGAAAGCCUGGGAUUUGGAGUUGACAGGACCUGGCUAACUCCGUUUUGAGACUGGAGCCAAAGCUGGGCCAAAGUUCUUGCCACCCUCCCCCCUUUCCUGAUUGAUGAGUUCCUGGAAAAACUAUAGGAGAUGGACAUCCAAACAACAACUUCCCUGACAUCUGGCCUGGGCCUAAACUAGAUAUGAGGAAAUAUCAUUCAUUCCCAUGUGGUGCCUGAACCAACCAGGACGCCUUCAUUCCAUUGCUCGCCCUGCUGCUGUCUGGGCUCUGGAGACGUCUGUUGGAAAUUAAGCCACUAGCUUCUGAGGACACAGCCCCAUUGAUGAAAAAAAAGUGUGGAUCUGAAAGAUAAUAACAAUUAGCUGCUGGAAGGAUGAGCAGAUAGGGAAGCUUAAGAAGUCCCCAACUUACCAAGAAAUCGUCCCGAGGCUGAGCUAGAGGGAAAUACAGCUGUUCUUCUUGUGUGCGUUGGCUUGCUAAUUGCUCAUCAG